UUAUACUGAACACCAAAUCCCUAAAAUUACAGAUAAUUUGUAAACAUUAAAAGCAAUGGCGCACGCACGCACGCCGCCGGUACACUUAGCCCAUGCAGCAGCAACCGAGCACGGUAGCAACAGGCCACCAGCAGUCGCUCUCUCUCUCACGCACACGCAGCAGCAAGCCAACACCAAUAGCCCCUCUUUCUCAUGCUCACUCUCUACUAUGCCCUCUUACGUACUCAAGAAAACUCUAACCCAUAUCCAAACCCUCGCCGUCGAAGAAAACCCAAUCCUUAAUGGCUUGAAAUUAAAGCCUCCACCGUCAAUCACCAUCGAACCAAAUAAACCCUAGCCUUACCAUCACUCUUCGUUUGACUCGCUGAAGAAAGCACUCUAUUAGGUGAGUCUCUGUUGUUUGAUAAUAUAUCUGCACUCUUUGUUGGCCGAAGCUUUUAGACAAUUGCUUUGAUUCAAUUGCUUCGAUUGGUUAGUUCUCUGUGAUUAAUUAGUUAGUUACUUUUAAUUUCAUAUUUUCAUCUCUAACAGUGAAUUUGGGAGUNNNN
rnacentral:lncRNA from 1 species